GCGACCCUUCGUGAAAAACCACCCAGGCUUGGCUGAUAGUGAGGUGGCUAAAAUUUGUUUAAUCGCCCGAUCGCUCGGCAAGGGUCUGUGUCUUAGGUGGACUUAUUUUUCGUUUAUAUGGGCCGAUGAUGCUGGUCGAUGUGGAAAAAAUAACUGAGUUGUUUGGUGGUGGAGCUACAACAGAGGGCAGCUAUCCACCGGUGUGUGACAGAAAGGACAUGCCGCGAACGAGACAUACAAGGCGGUGAGGCUACCGCGGAUCGACCGCUGUUUGCUAACGCGGAGGUCAAUCGUGGAUGAGGAAAAGCGAAGGCAGGAGCGUGAGGUGAACUGAAUUUCAGGUAAGACGUUAUGACCUGCACUCUAUUUGGGUCAGAUAUAAACCGAGUUUAGGUGUAGUUUAUUUAGCAACAGCUCUCUUACGUGUUGCUGAUAGCUGGCUGGCUAGCUAGCUAGCGCCGCUAGCUUAGCGCCGCUAGCUUAGCGCGGCUAGCGACCCUUCGUGAAAAACCACCCAGGCUUGGCUGAUAGUGAGGUGGCUAAAAUUUGUUUAAUCGCCCGAUCGCUCGGCAAGGGUCUGUGUCUUAGCUGGACUUAUUUUUCGUUUAUAUGGGCCGAUGAUGCUGGUCGAUGUGGAAAAAAUAACUGAGUUGUUUGGUGGUGGAGCUACAGAGGGCAGCUAUCCACCGGUGUGUGACAGAAAGGACAUGCCGCGAACGAGACAUACAAGGCGGUGAGGCUACCGCCGAUCGACCGGUGUUUGCUAACGCGGAGGUCAAUCGUGGAUCAGGGAAAGCGAAGGCAGGAGCGUG
ensembl:lncRNA